UCAAUUGGUAUCAUCUUUGCAUCUGCACCAGAGAGGAAGAAAAAGUAGUAAGUUCUAACUGUUGCUCAAGAAGGCAUACUCAUGGCCGAUAGAAAUUUUUACAAUAUUUUUGGGCGUGAUUGUAUAUCAGAUCAAGUUCCCAGUGGAUGUUAAAUUCAAAAAACUUUCAACCAAUAGGGGAACCACCAGAAGUAUAAGAAAUUACAGAAAUAUAAAUCCAUUCUCCAAUGUCUGUAUCUGCUAUGCAGGUAGACAUGAAGAGAGAAAGAAA
rnacentral:misc_RNA from 1 species